GAAAUGCGAUGAGUAAUGUGAAUUGCAGAAUUCAGUGAAUCAUCAAAUCUUUGAACGCAAAUUGCACUCUGGCGUGAGUCAGAGUACGCCCCUUUCAGUGUCUGCUUCUUUAACCUUUCAAAGCCCUUUUUUUUGGGGGCUUUGGAGAGAGUGGGCUUGGGUCUCGGGAUGUCUCUAGCCGCUGGUCUGAAGAGCGCGCGCGUUACCGAUCGAGUCACAUUGCGUGGGGCGCUUGGGUAGAAGAUGAGAAAGGAAGCGAAACAGCGACCCACUCACUACCUGGCCCCGGCAAGCCGACGAGGGUAACCGACCCGGUCUGUGUCUGCUUUUUGCUCUCGCGCAAAGCAGAACCAACCAAACCAAUCAAACAAAUGAUUGACCUGAAAUGGGGUGGGAGGACCCGCUGAAUUUAA
rnacentral:misc_RNA from 1 species